GCCGACGUAGCUCAGUGGCAGAGCAGCUCACUCGUAAUGAGCAGGUCGCGGGUUCGACUCCCAUCGUCGGCU
rnacentral:tRNA from 1 species